GUCGGGAUAGCUCAGCAGGUAGAGCANAGG
rnacentral:tRNA from 1 species